GCCUGCUGGGGUUAAGGUGCUCAAAAUCCUGGGGAAGCCCAAGAGUGAGGAGCUGGGACGUUCCUGCCCAUGUUCCAGGCAGUGGCCACGAACCGAGAGCAAGCCACGUAUGAGAACCACUCUGAGGGUCUUCCCGAGGGAAAGAGAAGCGUGGUGACGUCAUAGGCACAGAGCUCCCACGGUGAGGACCACCCCGGGAGAGAGGAUGACGAGGAAAGAGGUGGGGAAUCUUCUGGCAGGUCCGGGGACAGCAAUGGCUGUUUCAGCUGUGAGGCCUUCCUCAGCCUCUGAGCUCCACAGCUACACUGUCUUCUGAGCAUGAGCUACGGUUGUAUGAGGAUUCCUGAUGAGUGAUCUAUCAUUUGAUAUAAAAAGAGAAGAAUCAGAUCUGAUUCUGCAUGAGUGCACACACCAUCCAUGAAGGAAUGGCUACAACACACAGCCUGGAAGACAAUAGUGAAUGUAAAUACCCCCAGCAAGCAGAGCUCGAAGCUUCCACUUGAGGACAGAACGUCAGAGACACCCGUAUCUCAACUGAAGCUCACAGCAACCUCAGCAGAGAUUCUGAGCCCGUAAGAGCGUACGCAGUUACACAUUCUGUAAACGACAGUCAGUCUCCCCUUUCCCCUCCUGCCUUAACUGUUCAAUGGGCUCAUGAGUUAAACAAUCAUGGAUGCAGGGGUGAGGGUUCAUCAUAGGCCCAGGAACAUGGACGUUCACUCUCCGAGGUGGACUCACUGUCACUGGUGAGUGCCCAAAUUCCCAGCAGCAGUGUCACCUUGCUGUGGCCCCAUUCCUUUAAGUGAGCAGCCAGUCACCUGCGUCAGGUUGAUUACCUUACACUGCUCAGGCGUGGAAAAGGUAAAACAUGUUUGCGCUCAUCAGAACAGACACUCACCCUGGGAAAAGACUUGUCUUCCUCAGACGGAAUGCUUAUAUGAAAACUGUCAGCCGUGGGCUUGUAUACACUGCCUUAACAUCACUGCAGUAUUCAAACCAGCAUUGCUUCUGGUUGAGGAACCCACCUCACAGCAAGCCGUGUGGCAAAGAGUUCCUGCUCACGGAAUUCAUGUCUUACCAUGGUCUCCAUAAUUCUGCAGCAAUUGGCUUGGUUUGAAAGUACAGAUAUGUCUCCAGUAAGGUGAGAGUACCUUGCAUGGCUGGAGCCAUGUGCUCCAGGAACUGUGUGUGUUCGAGCAUCUGAUACACGGCGCUGCUUCUCCCAUAGCCAAGAGUCACGUAGCCAGGAAUCAAGAGGUGGAGAUGGAAGUGGUACCACCCACUAUCAUCCAUAAUGACCUACAAACAAAAUUCUGUUUCCUGUUCCUACAGCUUGAGGCUCUAUGAAUCUCAACUACGAAGGGAGGGACGUAUCUAUCAAAAGAUAUAAAGAUGAUUCCAACUGAACGUGAAAUUAAAUGUGCCACCUAGUCA